rnacentral:rRNA from 1 species
GUCUAUGGCCAUACCACCCUGAACGCGCCCGAUCUCGUCUGAUCUUGGAAGCUAAGCAGGGUCGGGCCUGGUUAGUACUUGGAUGGGAGGAAAUAACUAUUUAAAGUUU